UGUCCAGGGAGAAGGCACAGCUGGAAUGGCUGUAUUAUAUUCACAAAUAUCCCUUACCUCCUUUACUCUGAUUCCAUUGACCUUCCCCAGCAGUUAAGCUGUGAUCUGACACUAGUUGGAGUUUUGGCUGGGCAGGCAAAAAACUUCUGCUGUUCUUAUGUUGUCUUCAAAAGAAAAUGAUCUCUGGGUGCUUUGUCCCUCAUGAAUCCAGCUGCAGAAAGAGAGGAGUGAGCCAACCUUCAUUCAAACUACAUGACUGCUGGCAUCAUGCUGGAUAAGGCUUGUCUGCAUACCAGGUUUGAAAAAAAAGAUAAAAGAUCCUGGCUUGACCUGAGGAUGACCUUUCUGUACACAAGCUCCGUUAUUGAAGAGGAACUGAAAGCAGCAGUGCUUAGCAAAACCAAACCAAACAAGCCUGAGAAGCAGGCGGAGGGGCUGGAGCUGUCACCCAACAGAGAGGAGAAGCCCAGAGUGCCAGCCCCUACCUCUGUGCUCCCUGCCUGGGUGCCCGGGAGCCAAACCUCAGUGCAGACCUCGGGGACCUGUGUCAGCAGAGAGCCCCAAUGGGCCAGGCUCUUUCCCAGCCCCAGAAAGGCUUGUGUCUAAAAGCAGAUCCGAACAGCUGUAGAAUUACAUCUGCUCCUCUGAGGAAAUGUUCAGGGGGUUCUUAGGUUUAGAUUUUGGUUUUGGUUUGGGUUUUUUGUUUGUUUGCUUUUUUGUUUGUUUGGGGGAGGGGGUUGGGGUUGUUUGGGUUUUUUUUAGUCAAAGUUGCUGUGAGCCUCCUUGAUUUCAUCAUCCUGAACAGGGCAUGUUCAAAGCAGGCUGCAAUUGCUCAGAGAUUGCUGAGGAAUUUGGACUUGCAGCUACUUGCAGGAAUUUAGAUAAUUACUCAUCCUUUAAAUGUGAGACAUUUUUAUACCCAUACAGCUCCUAAUUAUAUAAGGAGCAUCAAAUUUGUGAUAGCUGGUAGAUGCUUUUUAUUGGGUACUGCUAUAUGAUAUGAGGUUUUUUCACACAAACAUGGUAAUAUACUUCUGGGUUUCUGGAAUUCUUCCCACCUAUGAACUGUUGGUGCUUUGACUUUGCUGGGAGAAGCUGCUGACCACACUCCUGAUUUGCAGAUCUCUGCUUUGCUAUGCACUUAUCUGCUGCUUCACAGAGCAAAUUGGGAAGUGAUAUUUCCCUUAAGAGAUUUUUUUCCUUCAGCUGAAAAAAUCCCCCACUUUUUAAGGAACUGCUUUGUCAAAAACCUCUUUUAAUUUUUUCUGGAAAAAGCAAAAAAAAGCAAGUCACUGUGUAAGAGCUUAGAGAUGAGGGAGUCAGAGUGUAUGAUAGGUGCUUUGUGGUAAGGGCAGCUUCAGGACAUCUCAGUUUUCUGGUGCAUCUCAGUUUUCUGGUACUGUGAGCCUGUUGGUACGGCUGAAUCAUGUUCUCUAGGAUACAAGGGUUUGGAAAACAUUUCACAGUGCAGUCCCACCUUGAACUACUGACCUCAGGGCUAGCUUGCCCGGAGGAGCUGAGUGACCCCCUGCACCCCAGUGAGACACUCAAGGGGGCAUUCUGCUCCAGGGCACCCCAGCACCACCUUGCCCAUGGGUACAAAUAGCCAGGCAGUAUCCCUGAUUUUUAUGCUGUUGCUCACAAGUGGUCAGGGUUAGGCCAGAGAAGUCUCCUUCUUACAGAUGGGUGUAUAAAGGUCCCCAUGUCAAAGCCAGUUUUCUUUACAAUGUUCAGUGCUUCCUUUCCCAGUGCUGGCUGAUCCUUGGCCUCCCAAGGUACAGCAGAUUACAGAUAAAGAAGCCAAGAGGAACAACAUGACCCUCUGCCAAGAGGAACCUUACAAAAGCAGCAACUCAGCUUGUGCUCUUUAGGAGUGGGGUGGUCUUGCUGUGUCAGAAACAGUGCAGCCAUCCAAGCCACUGGGUUAUUAACGUGCUGCAUCAAUUUAUGUGCUUCCUGAAGGAACUAUAUUUUACUUUUAUCAGCCAUCUGUUUUUCAGACUUGACAUUGAUGGUUUCAGUUUUGCUGCUAAAAUGCACCUUGCACUCUAGAAAAUAUUUCCUGCUCAGGUUCCUGCCCCAGUGACUUACAGAAACUGCGAGAGAUCAGACAGCGAUGGAAACUUGUGACCACGUCCUCCUGCAGCUGCUCAGCGGCAGAAAAGCAGCCGCAGCUGUCUGAGAGGCGGCACACAUGGUGAAAACAUUGCCAGCCCGGCCCCUCUGCUGAGAGCAAGCUGGACAAGACCCUCCAUGGAGGAGGGAGUGAGACUGACGAGCAAUCUCUCGUGUCCUCAGGAUCACUCACCUGCACCGUCUCUGUGAGCAGACCGCCCCACCCCGCAGCCAGCAGCCGGGCCAGCGGGAGCGCAUCUGCGGGGAUUCGUGUGCCAUGUCCUGCAGCGCCUCGGCCCCGGAAUGUCCCCUCGCUGUGCCAUGACCUAGCAGCACCCUCCCUGGGGCCGUCCUGACCCAAGACACAGCGCCCGGCCCUGGCCCCGCGUCCUCCUCCGCUUCCUGGCUUCCCCUGAGCAAACCCCGCUCCUCCCAAGGCAAAGCCUGCAGGAAGCAGGGAAUGGGGUCUCCUGCAGGAGGAAGGCAGAUGGUUAGAUGCAGACAGAAGACUGUUGAAAGCACGGGGAUAUUUUACUUCACCUAAAUAAAUAAAGCAAGAUGAUUUAGCA
rnacentral:lncRNA from 1 species